rnacentral:rRNA from 1 species
CAAUAGCGUAUAUUUAAGUUGCUGCAGUUAAAAAGCUCGUAGUUGGAUUUCAGGUGGGAAUGGCCGGUCCGCCGUUUCGGUGUGUACUUGCUACGCCCACCUUGCUGCCGGGGACGUGCUCUUGAGUUCACGCUCGGGACACGGAGUCGGCGAGGUUACUUUGAGUAAAUUAGAGUGUUCAAAGCAGGCCUACGCUCUGAAUACAUUAGCAUGGAAUAACACGAUAGGACUCUGGCCUAUCUUGUUGGUCUGUAGGACCGGAGUAAUGAUUAAGAGGGACAGUCGGGGGCAUUCGUAUUUCAUUGUCAGAGGUGAAAUUCUUGGAUUUAUGAAAGACGAACUACUGCGAAAGCAUUUGCCAAGGAUGUUUUCAUUAA